CACACUUAGCUUAGCUACGGUUCUAGAGUGACUCAGCUGCUCUUGCCGGCCAACAGCUAGCUUUCGACAAAGUUCCAUCGAAAACCCGAGACAAUCUCAUCCUCUAAUGGUUUUAUUAGUUACAUACUUAUUAGUUGAAGUAAAGGAGAGUCUCUCAUCAUCAGUGUUGUGUCCACCAACCGUUUUCAAACCUGCUGUUUAGGGUCCCCCUUCAUUGGUUCAUAUCCUGAUUUUAGUAUAUUCUUAGGAAUAUCAGUUUCAGGAUCUCAAGUGAAGCAUCUUUAUAGGUUUAUUCGUCCCUUUAACAUUUCUAUCGCCCUUAUUGUUGUAAUCUUAGUUUAUUGACUAGCAGUUGAGUGUACCUCCGGUUGUAAUCGUUUUAAAUCCGUUCGGUAUUUAGUUUAAAAUGUCUUUCGUGACCAAAAAGUAUUUAGUUUAAAAUGUCUUUCGUGACCCAAAAAAAGGCAGAGCACACCACCACCAAAUAACCCCUUUUCUUCAGGCAGAAAAAUAGAUGAGUGUUUCAAGUUUUAUGCCUUGUCGCUCAUAACUGUUGAUGUAGCAUUGUGAAUUAAUGAUAUGAGUUUGUAUGUGAGGUACAGUGUAUGCACGGACCUAAGUGUAAGCUGCAAAGUUGGAAGAAGAAUACAGGAAGUAAACGUUAUGGGUGGCCUCAUUCUUCCCAUCUGGGGAUCCAUUGAGAAAGCUCUUUCCAAACAAGCACGUCAAAGCCACAAGAGAAUUCGAGUUAUACGCACAGAAACUACUGCUGAUAAUCAGCGAAUAGUAUAGGCCUCUCUAUCCCUCCCUAAUGGCUGUCGAAACUGUAUUACAAGGUUUAGACCAAAAGCAGUACUUCUUGUCCUAUUUGUACAAAAUCAGGAAGUAAAAAAAUUAUUUUCAGAAAUCAUAGUUUCCAGAAAUUAUAUUUGAGGAUUUUAAU